rnacentral:misc_RNA from 1 species
GGGGGAGUGGGGGGGUGCGGGGGCCGGGUGGUGUUGGUGUGUUGAUGUGGUGUGGGUGGUGUUUUAUGGAAGGGGGAUAAGCGGGGAUGCAAUACCACAAAUACCGAUGCGAAUUUUUUGUUAGAAAAUCAAACUGGGAGCUCAGACACGUCGUCGCUUUGAUGGGGGUUGGCGGAGAUAGCGAAAGGGCGGUCCUGGGCCUCAUCUUCAUUAUCAUCGUC